UACGUAGGGGGCUAGCGUUGUCCGGAAUCAUUGGGCGUAAAGAGCGUGUAGGCGGCUCAGUAAGUCCGCUGUGAAAGUCCAGGGCUCAACCCUGGAAUGCCAGUGGAAACUGUUGAGCUAGAGUCCGGAAGAGGCGAGUGGAAUUCCUGGUGUAGCGGUGAAAUGCGCAGAUAUCAGGAGGAACACCAAUGGCGAAGGCAGCUCGCUGGGACGGUACUGACGCUGAGACGCGAAAGCGUGGGGAGCGAACAGG
rnacentral:rRNA from 1 species